UCGUGGCGCCGCCUGGGGGUCCCUGCGCCCCGGAAAGAGACAGCAGGCACUGGAAAGCGAGGCCGGUGGGCGGGCAAGUCGGGAGGCUCGGGCGGCCGAGGUCCGGGAGCGGAUCCCAGGUGGCGGGAGCUGUUGCCACGCUGGCUCCCACCGGCCUCUUUCCAGAUCAUGAAGAUAUUUUUCCUUCAUCAAAUUGAGAGGAAGUCUGUAGUAAAGCUGCCUGUUGACCAGGUAGUGCUGAGAGAAUCGGUGCCCAGGCUGGAGGGACUGGCUUACGCCACCCUUUGCAGGAUCAUCUUCUUAGCUUACAGAGCCUGGUGUGAUUCCACAACCCUCCACCUCUGCCCCCAACAUGCCCAACUGAUCUGGUGGAGGGAACUGAAGAUGAAGGCCUCUCAGGCACCAUGGAUGGGAUGGGUGUGUGUGAAGGGGGCAGGGUCCCCAGCAGCUGCCCCAGGUCUGACUGGACAGUUGCAUGGGAAGGCCUGUUUGUGAACUCAACUUUUCUAUGGCUGUUCCAUUAAACUUUGCCCCAAACC
rnacentral:antisense_RNA from 1 species